UGGGGAAUAUUGCACAAUGGGGGAAACCCUGAUGCAGCGACGCCGCGUGAACGAAGAAGGUAUUCGUAUCGUAAAGUUCUGUCCUAUGGGAAGAUAAUGACAGUACCAUAGAAGAAAGCUCCGGCUAAAUACGUGCCAGCAGCCGCGGUAAUACGUAUGGAGCGAGCGUUGUCCGGAAUUAUUGGGCGUAAAGGGUACGCAGGCGGUUUAAUAAGUCGAAUGUUAAAGAUCGGGGCUCAACCCCGCAAAGCAUUGGAAACUGAUAAACUUGAGUAGUGGAGAGGAAAGUGGGAUUCCUAGUGUAGUGGUGAAAUACGUAGAUAUUAGGAGGAAUACCAGUAGCGAAGGCGACUUUCUGGACACAAACUGACGCUGAGGUACGAAAGCGUGGGGAGCAAACAGG
rnacentral:rRNA from 1 species